GGGCGGUUCGCAUAGUGGCCGAUUGCGCCGGGCUGUUAACCCGGAGGUGGAGAAUAUCCCCCGCGCUGGUUCAAAUCCAGCACCGUCCGCCA
rnacentral:tRNA from 1 species